GCCAGCAGCCAUAUCACCCUGCAACUCCCAACUGGCAGCCCACUGAAGCUCAACAGGUGUGAGCCUGGUCAGUACCUGGAUGGGAGACCUCCUGGGAAAGGUUGCUGCUGGAA
rnacentral:rRNA from 1 species